rnacentral:snoRNA from 1 species
CAUAUUAUGAUGAUAAUAUACCGCCCCAGUCUGAUAGUCUGAUGAAGGUUCCUUCUGAUAAA